CCUACGGGAGGCAGCAGUCGAGAAUCAUUCACAAUGGGGGAAACCCUGAUGGUGCGACGCCGCGUGGGGGAAUGAAGGUCUUCGGAUUGUAAACCCCCGUCAUGUGGGAGCAAAUUAAAAAGAUAGUACCACAAGAGGAAGAGACGGCUAACUCUGUGCCAGCAGCCGCGGUAAUACAGAGGUCUCAAGCGUUGUUCGGAAUCACUGGGCGUAAGGCGUGCGUAGGCUGUUUCGUAAGUCGUGUGUGAAAGGCGCGGGCUCAACCCGCGGACGGCACAUGAUACUGCGAGACUAGAGUAAUGGAGGGGGAACCGGAAUUCUCGGUGUAGCAGUGAAAUGCGUAGAUAUCGAGAGGAACACUCGUGGCGAAGGCGGGUUCCUGGACAUUAACUGACGCUGAGGCACGAAGGCCAGGGGAGCGAAAGGGAUUAGAUACCCCAGUAGUC
rnacentral:rRNA from 1 species